GCUGGGAUGGUUAGACCUCGUGAGAAAGAUGGUGAGGGAAAUGGGCAAGAUGCUGUUGAUGUGAAUACCAAUGAGGGUGGGGAGGAGACGAAGUGGAGGAGGACGGGCUGAGUGCCUGGGUUUGUAUGGAAAACAAAAGAAAUCAGUAAAAAAAAGAAUUUUCUAUGAAUCUUUUGGAGGCUUUUGCGUUAUCUUUUGGGCCGAUGAUAGCUUCUGACUCUGUAUUAGAUACCCUUGGUAAGUGGCUAAGUGUAAUUGUGAAAUAAAAAGUUGAUUAAAAUGAAAUCAGUUGGGGAAAUUAUGAGAAUUGUAUUGUUUCCAUGCAGGUUUGGGGGUGUUCAUCGACAGAGCCGAAGCUACCUUGGGUGCAAUUAAACAUUAGAAUACAACAGUAACUAGUAGAAACC
rnacentral:sRNA from 1 species